rnacentral:rRNA from 1 species
AUGGAGUUGACGUAUCUGGUGCGUAUUCAGUUGUCGGUCGCCGUGAUUGCUGGGCGUUGGCAUUCCGCAAGGUUGCCCGUUCGGUAUUGUUGCGGUUGCUUGCAAUGCAUUUGCGUACGGAGUGCGCCGAGUCGUGUGCUGGCGUUCGUCGAAGGCUUUCGAGAGGACAGGGCUUCGGUCGUGAAACCUCGGUGGUUGGAGGCGAGUUGCUGGUGCGCGGUUUCGUGGAGUUGCGGGUUCAACGCGUCUUCGGAUGCUCUGCACUCUUCUCGGUGUAUAGUCAAUGACCCAUUUGACCCGUCUUGAAACACGGACCAAGGAGUUUAUGGUAUACGCGAGUCAUUGGGUUCGUGAAACCUAAAGGCGCAAUGAAAGUGAGACCUUACUGGUUUGAAUGUGAACGGUGGGUGUUUCGACGUCUGCCGUGCAACAUUGCCCCGUUUCGAGGACUUGUCCUGUUGCGGAGGUUGAGCGUAUGCUGUGAGACCCGAAAGAUGGUGAACUAUGCCUGUACAGGAUGAAGCCAGAGGAAACUCUGGUGGAAGUCCGAAGCGGUUCUGACGUGCAAAUCGAUCGUCUGAUAUUGGUAUAGGGGCGCAAGACUAAUCGAACCAUC